rnacentral:rRNA from 1 species
GAUUAGAUACCCCUGUAGUCCUAGCCGUAAACGAUGGACACUAGGUGUGGGGGGAUGUGCCCUCCGUGCCGCAGCCAACGCAUUAAGUGUCCCGCCUGGGGAGUACGGCCGCAAGGCUAAAACUCAAAGGAAUUGACGGGGGCCCGCACAAGCAGCGGAGCAUGUGGCUUAAUUCGAAGCAACGCGAAGAACCUUACCCGGGCUUGACAUUCAGGUGAAGCGGCGGAAACGCCGUGGCCGAGAGGAGCCUGAAGAGGUGGUGC